AGAGAAAAGAGAAAGGAGAAAGAGAGAAAGAAAAGAAGGAAAGAAGGAAAGAAGGAAGGAAGGAAGGAAGGAAGGAAGGAAGGAGGGAAGGAAGGAAGAAAAUAUCUUGAUCCAAAAAUAUUAGCUACACCAAAACAAGUUUUCCUGAAACUUUUAUGAUGAAAGGAAACUCCUGCAGUUCAUUUCUCGCCACAGUACACAUUUAAUAUUGAUGCAUCUCUUUACAAAACUGCUAACUGUUAUCUGCACUUGAGAGCAUAAUUUUCAGCUGUAUUUUAAUGUGGAUUUUCUCACGUUUGCAAUCCUUAAUUUAUACAUAAUAUUCAUUUUUUAGCAUUUCUCCAAGAGCCAGACUGUUGAGAAAUUAUUCUUUUCUGCUGCUUUCUGUCUGAUUAGAAUUCCAGCUACCCAUCAUUUACAGCCUCUCCCCUACAGAGGGCACCUUUGCCUUAUUGGAAUUGCUUCUACAAAAGAGAUCCUCGGUGGUUAUCAGAGAAAUAACUGAGCCUUAAAAAGAGAUCAGAUUUUUCACAGAUGCAAGGACCUUGUUUGCCUAGUCUUUUCAAUUAGCCACGUUUUGUACUACAAUUCAUAAAUGAGUAAUAGCAAUGUUACAUUCUAUGCUAUUACAGUCUCCACCAAGAAGAGGUGAGAUGAACUGGAGACUGCUGGGUUUACUUCAGAGGCCAAUGAGAUGAAAGCAUGAGCAUAAGUUUUUGUUUGUUUGUUUGUCUGCUUUGUUUUUCCACCAGUAAUUAUGGGUUUUGUCAUUAAAAUCUUUCUGAGUUGCACAGUAAAAACAUUGGCCAUGGGAAAAAAAGUCACAGACAGAAAGUCAACCAUCUCCCGAAUAAAUCUUACUAACAGACCUUCAAUUAAUAACUGUUAUCUGAAAGCUGUUCAAGUGGAAUAAAAUAAGGUUUUACUUUCUUUUGUAGAGUUAAGCCUUCAAAACUGAUUCUAAAAUUCUUAUUUGUGGAAAAAAAUCAAUUGACUGCAAGACUGAGCCCCAAACUAAUUUUCUUCCUGAUUUUGUUGGUGUGCUAUUAUUUAUGAAGUGUCAUGUAUAUCAUUCAUAGUAUCUGCUAGUUCUGAAUAAAAUUAGCAAUACAUUUAUGUUCAAUAUUGUUUUUUUCAGCUCAAUCUGUAAAACAGGCUUCCUUUACAGGCCAUUUCACUAAUGUGUUAAGACAGACGCAAACGUCAUUGAUUUGUAAAUGGCAAAGUGAAAAUUCUGAAGAAUAAAGAAAAAUCUUUUCUCUG